AUUGAACGCUGGCGGCAGGCCUAACACAUGCAAGUCGAGCGUAUGACGGGAGCUUGCUCCUCGAUUCAGCGGCGGACGGGUGAGUAAUGCCUAGGAAUCUGCCUGGCAGUGGGGGACAACGUUUCGAAAGGAACGCUAAUACCGCAUACGUCCUACGGGAGAAAGUGGGGGAUCUUCGGACCUCACGCUAUCAGAUGAGCCGAGGUCGGAUUAGCUAGUUGGUGAGGUAAAGGCACACCAAGGCGACGAUCCGUAACUGGUCUGAGAGGAUGAUCAGUCACACUGGAACUGAGACACGGUCCAGACUCCUACGGGGGGCAGCAGUGGGGAAUAUUGGACAAUGGGCGAAAGCCUGAUCCAGCCAUGACGCGUGUGUGAAGAAGGUCUUCGGAUUGUAAAGCACUUUAAGUUGGGAGGAAGGUCAGUAAGUUAAUACCUUGCUGUUUUGACGUUACCAACAGAAUAAGCACCGGCUAACUUCGUGCCAGCCGCCGCGGUAAAAC
rnacentral:rRNA from 1 species